UUACGGCCAUAUCACAUUGAAACAUCGGUUCCCGUACGAUCACUGAAGUUACGUAACGUCAAGCCAGGUCAGUACUUAGAUGGGUAACUGUUUGGGAAUAACAGAUGUU